UAAUCAGUCUCUAGCGUUAGUCUCAAAAUAUUGAGACCUGGUAGUUAGCAGGUCACAAAACUAAAAAGAACUCUUGUCUGCCAUUUUGAAUAUACUGAAUAGAGAUCAUCAUAGAUAUUAAUCGAUUGUCGUUUCUUUAUAUUUUGUAAGCAACUCAAACACGAAAAGGUUAAAAAUAAAUCAAUUUUACAUAAACUUCGUAAAUAUUAUGAAACAAAGUCAAUAUAUAUUUUUAUUUUCAUUGAUAAUUAUGUUUUUUGACUAUGUUAUAGAAAAUUUAAUAUUUGUUAUCGACAUAUUUAUUUUCAUUCAAGUGUAAAAACAUCUCUGAAUAAUGAAAUGUAAUAGAUUUUGUGACUGUCACUUACAGAAUAGCAAUAUCAUCUCAAGUCUCAAAAAUUGUCUCUAACUUAAAAUCUCAAAUUUAGAGACUUGAGACUGUCUCAAGUUACAGAAUCGCACGGUUAAACAGUUCAAGGGCUCAAAACGUGCGCUACAUCAGCUACCUACCCGACGGCAUUUCGCAAAUGAUAAAAUUAAUUUUUCAAGAGCUCAAAGCAUGCUCUACAUCAGCUCGAACCUACCUACCCUUUGCCUUUGCGCAAAUUAUUAUAUUAUGAUAGCAAAUGCCCCAUACAGAUUUGGCAAUGGCAAUAGCAAUACGUUUGACAGUUAGUAUUCUAUAAAUUCUAUCCUGUCGAGAUGCCCCGUAAUGGAACUCUUUAUUGAUUACGAUUCAGUACAUCAUUUUACAAACAUACAUACAUCUAAAUAUGUAUGUACAAAAAUUUGAACUCUGCUUUCGUAUGAAAUCAUAAUAUAAAUUUGUAUGAAUAUGAGUAGAGUAUCAGUUUCUACAUAAUAGGUAAAUGUACGUAUUUGAAUGAGGACAGAUAAAGGCCUCGAGUCCAAACAAAAGUGAUACAUAUAUACGACAACUUUGCUUCCAUACCUUUUCUAAAGUUCAAAAAUUCAACAAUUUAAAGGAACUAACUAUUCUAGCAAAAUGUAGCAACAGAGUAUAAUAAGAAAUCGUUCCAUAAGUUAGGAUACGAAAGGCUGCGAUUUAGAAGAGCAUCCUCCGAUUUCGUGGUUAAAAUGGGUAUGUACGCAUAGAGGAGGUCCUCCAGAUCAAGAAAAUAUAUACAUAUACAGCGAGUCACAGUGAAAGUGAGCCCCAUAAUGCUGUUACCGGAAGCUUUAAAAAUAUCACUAAAAUACAACUAUUAUUAAAAAACCUUGUAUAUUAUUUUGUCUGGAUAUUAAUCUACAGUAAUUCAA